UUAAAAAGCUCGUAGUUGAAUUUCGGGAUUGACACAUCGGUCGUGCCUUAAGGGGUAUGAACUGGUGUAGUCAAUUUCUCACCUUCUGGAGAACCGCAAUGCCCUUAAUUGGGUGUCGCGGGGAACCAGGACCUUUACUUUGAAAAAAUUAGAGUGUUUAAAGCAGGCAUUUUGCUUGAAUACAUUAGCAUGGAAUAAUAAAAUAGGACGGCAUGAUUCUAUUUUGUUGGUUUCUAGGAUCACCGUAAUGAUUAAUAGGGAUAGUUGGGGG
rnacentral:rRNA from 1 species